rnacentral:misc_RNA from 1 species
GGCAAACUCACAUUUGAUUCACACAUUUAUUUGACCCUAAAACCUGUAAAUCAAAAUAUUGCGGGUUGUAACAAAUUGGAAUUCAACAGAUUAAAAACGGAAGCUGUACUCCGUUGGUAAAUGAUAACAGAUGUUUAUGUCUAUUAGCAACCACAUUCACUCCUGUUCGUGAAUGAUAAUCCGUUGCAAUCUCGAUAGAAUUUAGUACUGUUGGUUAUCUUGUUUAUUCUUUCUUUCUGCAUAUCCUGGCAUUUAAUUGCCCAGCUGGUCUUAUUGAAGUUUGGCAUCCUUUAUUUCAAUUUUUGUGAAUUAUUUUUUGGAACUCUAUGUUCUUUAAUCUUGUUUCAACUCCUACUGCAGAUAUGACUACUAUUCAUUCUCA